CACUCUUCCAACCUUCAAACAUGACCCUAAAAUCUAACCCGACUUUUGACGACGACGUCGACGACACCAAUUGGACAAAACCAUAGACCCAUAGAAAAAUACCGUCCCUCUUCACUCUUGAUCGUCUUUCUUCUCUUCCUUGGCAGCAGGUGCCUUUUCUUCUGCCUUCUCCUCAGCAGGUGAUUCUUCUUUUACUGCAUCGCUCUUCUUAGCUGCAGCAGGUGCCUCUGCCUCAGACUUCUCCCCAACACUCAAUUUAUCGAGAAGCCCAGCAGCUUCAGUGGCUUCUUUGCUUUCUUCUUCAGGACUCUGGGAUUCAGCAACUUCUUGAAACUUCUCCAUGAACAAUUUGUUA
rnacentral:lncRNA from 1 species